rnacentral:hammerhead_ribozyme from 1 species
AUCCAGCUGAUGAGUCCCGAAUAGGACGAAACGUGCAUCCUGGAU